UACGUAGGGGGCUAGCGUUGUCCGGAAUCAUUGGGCGUAAAGAGCGUGUAGGCGGCUUUACAGGUCCGUUGUGAAAACUCGAGGCUCAACCUCGAGACGCCGGUGGAAACCGUAAGGCUAGAGUCCGGAAGAGGAGAGUGGAAUUCCUGGUGUAGCGGUGAAAUGCGCAGAUAUCAGGAGGAACACCCGUGGCGAAAGCGGCUCUCUGGGACGGUACUGACGCUGAGGAGCGAAAGCGUGGGUAGCAAACAGG
rnacentral:rRNA from 1 species